rnacentral:rRNA from 1 species
GACGAACGCUGGCGGCGUGCUUAACACAUGCAAGUCGAACGGAAAGGCCCUGCUUUUGUGGGGUGCUCGAGUGGCGAACGGGUGAGUAACACGUGAGUAACCUGCCCUUGACUUUGGGAUAACUUCAGGAAACUGGGGCUAAUACCGGAUAGGAGCUCCUGCUGCAUGGUGGGGGUUGGAAAGUUUCGGCGGUUGGGGAUGGACUCGCGGCUUAUCAGCUUGUUGGUGGGGUAGUGGCUUACCAAGGCUUUGACGGGUAGCCGGCCUGAGAGGGUGACCGGCCACAUUGGGACUGAGAUACGGCCCAGACUCCUACGGGAGGCAGCAGUGGGGAAUAUUGCACAAUGGGCGGAAGCCUGAUGCAGCAACGCCGCGUGCGGGAUGACGGCCUUCGGGUUGUAAACCGCUUUCGCCUGUGACGAAGGGUGAGUGACGGUAAUGGGUAAAGAAGCACCGGCUAAAUACGUG